CAGGCCUAACACAUGCAAGUCGAACGGUAACAUUGGUUGCUUGCAACCAGAUGACGAGUGGCGCACGGGUGCGUAACGCGUAUACAAUCUACCUAUUACAGGAGUAUAGCCUUUAGAAAUGAAGAAUAAUCCUCCAUAGUAUUUUAGUUUGGCAUCAGAUUAAGAUUAAAGAUUUAUCGGUAAUAGAUGAGUAUGCGUCCUAUCAGCUAGAUGGUGUGGUAACGGCACACCAUGGCAACGAUAGGUAGGGGCCCUGAGAGGGGGAUCCCCCACACUGGUACUGAGACACGGACCAGACUCCUACGGGAGGCAGCAGUGAGGAAUAUUGGACAAUGGGCGAGAGCCUGAUCCAGCCAUGCCGCGUGCAGGAAGACUGCCCUAUGGGUUGUAAACUGCUUUUAUACAGGAAGAAACCACUCUACGUGUAGAGUGCUGACGGUACUGUAAGAAUAAGGAUCGGCUAACUCCGUGCCAGCAGCCGCGGUAAUACGGAGGAUCCAAGCGUUAUCCGGAAUCAUUGGGUUUAAAGGGUCCGUAGGUGGAUUAAUAAGUCAGAGGUGAAAGCCUGCAGCUCAACUGUAGAACUGCCUUUGAUACUGUUAGUCUUGAAUUAUUGUGAAGUAGUUAGAAUAUGUAGUGUAGCGGUGAA
rnacentral:rRNA from 1 species